rnacentral:rRNA from 1 species
UUCGGGAACUGUGAGACAGGUGCUGCAUGGCUGUCGUCAGCUCGUGUUGUGAAAUGUUGGGUUAAGUCCCGCAACGAGCGCAACCCUUAUCCUUUGUUGCCAGCGGUCCGGCCGGGAACUCAAAGGAGACUGCCAGUGAUAAACUGGAGGAAGGUGGGAUGACGUCAAGUCAUCAUGGCCCUUACGACCAGGGCUACACACGUGCUACAAUGGCAUAUACAAAGAGAAGCGACCUCGCGAGAGCAAGCGGACCUCAUAAAGUAUGUCGUAGUCCGGAUUGGAGUCUGCAACUCGACUCCAUGAAGUCGGAAUCG